UACAGAGGUCCCAAGCGUUGUUCGGAUUCAUUGGGCGUAAAGGGUGCGUAGGCGGCGCGGUAAGUCGGGUGUGAAAUCUCGGAGCUUAACUCCGAAACUGCAUUCGAUACUGCCGUGCUUGAGGACUGGAGAGGAGACUGGAAUUUACGGUGUAGCGGUGAAAUGCGUAGAUAUCGUAAGGAAGACCAGUGGCGAAGGCGGGUCUCUGGACAGUUCCUGACGCUGAGGUGCGAAAGCGUGGGGAGCGAACAGG
rnacentral:rRNA from 1 species